rnacentral:rRNA from 1 species
CACGUAGGGCGCAAGCGUUGUCCGGAAUUAUUGGGCGUAAAGGGCGCGUAGGCGGCGAGGUAAGUCGGGUGUGAAAUCUCAGAGCUCAACUCUGAAACUGCACUCGAUACUGCUUGCUAGAGGACUGGAGAGGAGAUUGGAAUUCACGGUGUAGCAGUGAAAUGCGUAGAGAUCGUGAGGAAGACCAGUGGCGAAGGCGGAUCUGCUGGACA